rnacentral:rRNA from 1 species
UACGGAAGGCAGCAGUAGGGAAUAUUGGGCAAUGGGCGAGAGCCUGACCCAGCCAUGCCGCGUGGAGGAUGAAGGCGCUCAGCGUUGUAAACUUCUUUUAGCUGGGAAGAACGGCAGUCCUGCGGGAUUGUGUGACGGUACCAGCGGAAUAAGCACCGGCUAACUCCGUGCCAGCAGCCGCGGUAAUACGGAGGGUGCGAGCGUUGUCCGGAUUUAUUGGGUUUAAAGGGUGCGUAGGUGGCCUGUUAAGUCUGGUUUUGAAAGCAGGCGGCUUAACCGUCUGAUGUGGCUGGAAACUGGGAGGCUUGAAUGCGGGAGCGGCUGCCGGAACGGGUCAUGUAGCGGUGAAAUGCAUAGAUAUGACCCAGAACACCGAUUGCGAAGGCAGGGCAGCCAGGCCGUGAUUGACACUGAGGCACGAGAGCAU